GACGAACGCUGGCGGCGUGCCUAAUACAUGCAAGUAGAACGCUGAAGGAGGAGCUUGCUUCUCUGGAUGAGUUGCGAACGGGUGAGUAACGCGUAGGUAACCUGCCUGGUAGCGGGGGAUAACUAUUGGAAACGAUAGCUAAUACCGCAUAACAUUAGAUAUCGCAUGAUAUUUACUUGAAAGGUGCAAUUGCAUCACUACCAGAUGGACCUGCGUUGUAUUAGCUAGUUGGUGAGGUAACGGCUCACCAAGGCGACGAUACAUAGCCGACCUGAGAGGGUGAUCGGCCACACUGGGACUGAGACACGGCCCAGACUCCUACGGGAGGCAGCAGUAGGGAAUCUUCGGCAAUGGACGGAAGUCUGACCGAGCAACGCCGCGUGAGUGAAGAAGGUUUUCGGAUCGUAAAGCUCUGUUGUAAGAGAAGAACGAGUGUGAGAGUGGAAAGUUCACACUGUGACGGUAUCUUACCAGAGAGGGACGGCUAACUACGUG
rnacentral:rRNA from 1 species